AUUGAACGCUGGCGGCAGGCCUAACACAUGCAAGUCGAACGAGUGGCGGACGGGUGAGUAAUGUCUGGGAAACUGCCUGAUGGAGGGGGAUAACUACUGGAAACAGUAGCUAAUACCGCAUACCAUCGGAUGUGCCCAGAUGGGAUUAGCUUGUAGGUGGGGUAACGGCUAACCAAGGCGACGACCCCUAGCUGGUCUGAAAGGAUGACCAGCAAAACUGGAACUGAGACACGGUGCAGACUCCUACGGGAGGCAGUAGUGGGGAAUAUUGCACAAUGGGCGCAAGCCUGAUGCAGCCAUGCCGCGUGUAUUAAGAAGGCCUUCGGGUUGUAAAGUACUUUCAGCGAGGAGGCGUUGCUCGCAGAAGAAGCACCGGCUAACUCCGUGCCAGCAGCCGCGGUAAUUC
rnacentral:rRNA from 1 species